UACGUAGGGGGCAAGCGUUGUCCGGAAUCAUUGGGCGUAAAGCGCGUGUAGGCGGCUUGGUAAGUCCGCUCUGAAAGCCCGGGGCUCAACCCCGGGAGGCGGGUGGAUACUGUCAAGCUCGAGUCCGGAAGAGGCGAGUGGAAUUCCUGGUGUAGCGGUGAAAUGCGCAGAUAUCAGGAGGAACACCGAUGGCGAAGGCAGCUCGCUGGGACGUGACUGGCGCUGAGACGCGAAAGCGUGGGGAGCAAACAGG
rnacentral:rRNA from 1 species